UAAAGCUUUACAACUGGCACUUUAUAGAUUGCGGUAUGUGAUGUCUUCUGUGUAGAAAAGCGCAUACUACGUUCUCACAGAAAUCGAUUUGCAGCAAUCAUCUAUGUCCACAGGGCAAGUCUACUGUCUGGAAGAUCCAAGAGAAUGGUGUUCAGUGUGCUCAUCACGCCUCUGUGUCUCAUGAGGAACUGACCAGGAAAGGGCAAAUAAAACGGCGACGAUAUUAUAAUCUAUAUUCGUGAUAUUGAAGAACACAGUUUUAUCCAA